UUGGUUAAGUUAGAAAGGGCGCACGGUGGAUGCCUUGGCACUAGGAGCCGAAGAAGGACGGGACUAACACCGAUAUGCUUUGGGGAGCUGUACGUAAGCGUUGAUCCAGAGAUUUCCGAAUGGGGGAACCCACUAUCUUUAGUCGGAUAGUAUCCUUACGUGAAUACAUAGCGUGAGGAAGGCAGACCCAGGGAACUGAAACAUCUAAGUACCUGGAGGAAGAGAAAGAAAAAUCGAUUUCCUGAGUAGCGGCGAGCGAAACGGAAAGAGCCCAAACCAAGAAGCUUGCUUCUUGGGGUUGUAGGACACUCUAUACGGAGUUACAAAAGAAAGUUAUAAAUGAAGCGGUCUGGAAAGGCCCGCCAAAGACGGUAACAGCCCGGUAGUUGAAAUGGCUUUCCCUCCAGAGUGGAUCCUGAGUACGGCGGAACACGUGAAAUUCCGUCGGAAUCCGGGAGGACCAUCUCCCAAGGCUAAAUACUCCCUAGUGACCGAUAGUGAACCAGUACCGUGAGGGAAAGGUGAAAAGCACCCCGGAAGGGGAGUGAAACAGUUCCUGAAACCGUGUGCCUACAAGUAGUUAGAGCCCGUUAAUGGGUGAUAGCGUGCCUUUUGUAGAAUGAACCGGCGAGUUACGAUUUGUUGCAAGGUUAAGCGGAAAAAGCGGAGCCGUAGCGAAAGCGAGUCUGAAUAGGGCGCAUAAGUAACAGGUCGUAGACCCGAAACCAGGUGAUCUACCCAUGUCCAGGAUGAAGGUAAGGUAAUACUUACUGGAGGUCCGAACCCACGCACGUUGAAAAGUGCGGGGAUGAGGUGUGGGUAGCGGAGAAAUUCCAAUCGAACUUGGAGAUAGCUGGUUCUCUCCGAAAUAGCUUUAGGGCUAGCCUCGAGGUAAAGAGUCAUGGAGGUAGAGCACUGUUUGGACUAGGGGCCCUUCUCGGGUUACCGAAUUCAGAUAAACUCCGAAUGCCAUGUACUUAUACUCGGGAGUCAGACUGCGAGUGAUAAGAUCCGUAGUCGAAAGGGAAACAGCCCAGACCACCAGUUAAGGUCCCCAAAUAUAUGUUAAGUGGAAAAGGAUGUGGGGUUGCUUAGACAACCAGGAUGUUGGCUUAGAAGCAGCCACCAUUGAAAGAGUGCGUAAUAGCUCACUGGUCGAGUGACCCCGCGCCGAAAAUGUACCGGGGCUAAACAUAUUACCGAAACUGUGGAUGAACCUCUUCGGAGGUUCGUGGUAGGAGAGCGUUCUAAGGGCGGUGAAGUCAGACCGGAAGGACUGGUGGAGCGCUUAGAAGUGAGAAUGCCGGUAUGAGUAGCGAAAGAAGGGUGAGAAUCCCUUCCACCGAAUAUCUAAGGUUUCCUGAGGAAGGCUCGUCCGCUCAGGGUUAGUCGGGACCUAAGCCGAGGCCGAUAGGCGUAGGCGAUGGACAACAGGUAGAGAUUCCUGUACCAGUGCUAAUUGUUUAACCGAUGGGGUGACACAGAAGGAUAGGGAAUCGCACGAAUGGAAAUGUGCGUCCAAGCAGUGAGUGUGA
rnacentral:rRNA from 2 species